AUUGAACGCUGGCGGCAGGCCUAACACAUGCAAGUCGAACGAGUGGCGGACGGGUGAUUAAUGCUUGGGACACUGCCUGAUGGAGGGGGAUAACUACUGGAAACUGUAGCUAAUACCGCAUCCCCUCCGCUGUGCCCCGUUGGGCUUAGCUAGUUGUUGGGGUCACGGCUCACCAAGGCGACGAUCCCUAGCUGGUCUGAGAGGAUGACCAGCCACACUGGAACUGAGACACGGUCCAGACUCCUACGGGAGGCAGCAGGGGGGAAUAUUGCACAAUGGGGGCAAGCCUGAUGCAGCCAUGCCGCGUGUAUGAAGAAGGCCUUCGGGUUGUAAAGUACUUUCAGCAGGGAGGCGUUACCCGCAGAAGAAGCACCGGCUAACUCCGUGCCAGCAGCCGCGGUAAUUC
rnacentral:rRNA from 1 species